rnacentral:rRNA from 1 species
CACGUAGGCGGCUUUGUAAGUUAGAGGUGGAAGCCCGGGGCUCAACUCCGGAAUUGCCUUUAAGACUGCAUCGCUAGAAUUGUGGAGAGGUAAGUGGAAUUCCGAGUGUAGAGGUGAAAUUCGUAGAUAUUCGGAAGAACACCAGUGGCGAAGGCGACUUACUGGACACAUAUUGACGCUGAGGUGCGAAAGCGUGGGGAGCAAACA